UUUUCUUCAUGGCUUCGAAGCUCGUUUUGAACCGACUGAGAUCUCUCUGUAGAGUCUCUCAACUCAGCGACGUCCGUUUUGAUAAACUCAGAGACCCGGUUUCCAUUUUCUCCACCUCACAAAAUCAGGUAACAUGGCGAUCUUAUUCCGAAGCUUCUCAGCCAACUCCGAUAAAUCCUCCACCACCACCUCCUCCAUCCCCUAAUACUUCUACAACAACUUCAAGUUCUCUCAAUGAAUUUGAACUUGCCAAAUUCUCUGCCAUUGCCGAAACCUGGUGGGAUGCAGAAGGACCCUUUAAGCCAUUACAUCUGAUGAACCCUACAAGA
rnacentral:misc_RNA from 1 species